rnacentral:rRNA from 1 species
GAUGAACGCUAGCGGCAGGCCUAAUACAUGCAAGUCGAACGAGAUUGAGGAGCUUGCUCCUCAUGAAAGUGGCGCACGGGUGCGUAACGCGUAUGCAAUCUACCUUAAUCGGGGGGAUAGCCCGGAGAAAUCCGGAUUAAUACCGCAUAACGUUAUUUUAUGGCAUCAUAGAAUAACCAAACAUUUAUGGGAUUAAGAUGAGCAUGCGUGACAUUAGUUAGUUGGUGAGGUAACGGCUCACCAAGACUACGAUGUCUAGGGGAUCUGAGAGGAUGACCCCCCACACUGGUACUGAGACACGGACCAGACUCCUACGGGAGGCAGCAGUAAGGAAUAUUGGUCAAUGGGCGCAUGCCUGAACCAGCCAUGCCGCGUGCAGGAAGACGGCCCUAUGGGUUGUAAACUGCUUUUAAUUCGGGAAUAAACCUCUUUAACGUGUAAGGAGCUGAAUGUACCGAAGGAAUAAGGAUCGGCUAACUCCGUGCCAGC